CAUGGAGGAGUCUGCCGGUGCUAGCCCUCAGACUCUCGGCUUUGUGGAGAAAUUGAAGUCUUGGCUCUCCUGGUCUUGGACUUACAUCUGCUUGGUCUGGUUCUGUAUGGUGGUGGUGAUGAUUUACGUCCUGAGAAGUCCCCUGAAACUGCAGGAGAGCUUCGCCUCAGCAUCUGUCUUCUUGAGCACAUUGACACCUAAAUUCUACGUGGCCCUCACUGGAACUUCCUCUCUCAUCUCCGGACUCAUCCUGAUAUUUGAGUGGUGGUAUUUUCGAAAAUACGGGACUUCAUUCAUUGAGCAAGUGUCAGUGAGCCACCUGCGUCCUCUCCUCGGUGGGGUGGAGAGCAGCUCCACCACGGGUCUGUUCUCAUCAGUCAACGGCGAGGCCGAGCCGAGGCCCAGUGUUUCAGAAUGUAAGGUCUGGAGGAACCCUUUGAAUUUGUUUAGAGGAGCCGAAUACAGCAGGUACACCUGGGUCACUGGAAAGGAGCCCUUAACGUACUAUGAUAUGAACUUGUCUGCUCAAGACCACCAGACCUUCUUCACAGGAGACACCCAGCAGCUGAGGCCAGAGGACACUGUGAUGCAGAAAGCCUGGAGAGAGAGAAACCCUCAGGCCAGGAUCAGAGCAGCCUACCAGGCCAUAGAAAUGAACCAUGAAUGUGCUGCUGCCUAUGUGCUUCUAGCAGAGGAAGAGGCCACCACUAUUACAGAAGCAGAGCGCCUUUUUAAACAAGCGCUGAAAAGUGCUGGAAAAGAUAUCAACCUACUGGUCUACAUCAAACGCCGUCUGGCAAUGUGUGCCCGCAAACUGGGACGGAUCAAGGAAGCAGUAAAAAUGAUGAGAGAUUUAAUGAAAGAGUUCCCACUGUUGGGAAUGUUAAAUAUACAUGAAAACCUAUUAGAGGCACUUCUAGAACUACAGGCAUAUGCUGAUGUGCAAGCAGUGCUCGCCAAAUACGAUGACAUCAGUUUGCCAAAAUCAGCGACAAUAUGCUACACAUCUGCACUGCUGAAAGCACGAGCUGUCUCAGAUAAAUUCUCACCAGAGGCAGCGUCCCGGCGGGGGCUGAGCACUGCAGAGAUGAACGCCGUGGAGGCCAUACACAGAGCUGUGGAGUUCAAUCCGCAUGUGCCAAAGUAUUUAUUAGAGAUGAAGAGCCUGAUCCUGCCCCCAGAGCACAUCCUGAAGAGAGGCGACAGCGAGGCAGUGGCAUACGCCUUCUUCCACCUGCAGCACUGGAAGAGGGCAGAAGGAGCCUUAAACCUCCUGCACUGCACCUGGGAGGGCACCUUCCGGAUAAUUCCCUAUCCUCUGGAGAAGGGGCACCUGUUUUACCCCUACCCAGGAUGUACAGAAACAGCAGAUAGGGAACUAUUGCCCUCUUUCCAUGAGGUGUCUGUGUAUCCAAAGAAAGAGCUUCCCUUCUUCAUCCUCUUCACAGCAGGCCUCUGCUCCUUCACCGCCAUGCUGGCCAUGCUUACACACCAGUUUCCUGAGCUCAUGGGCGUCUUUGCCAAAGCAUUGUAUCCGGCCAAUUACCCCACUCUUGCAAGCCGUCCCGGUCGCUGCUCCACCCCCUCUGCCAAUCCGGGAAGGGUUGCAAACUACCACGUGUCUCCUCCAAUACAUGUGGAGUCGCCAGGCGCUUCGUUUCACCUGACAGUGAGGAGUUUCGGCAGGGGGACGUAGCGCGUGAGCAUAUCACGCCAUUCCCCCCAGUCCCCCCCCCUCCGAACAGGCGCUCCGACCCGACCAGAGGAGGCAGUAGUGCAGCGACCAGCACACAUACCCACAUCUGGCUUCCCACCUGCAGACAUGGCCAAUUGUGUCUGUAGGGACACCUGACCAAGCCAGAAGUAACACGGUGAUUCGAACCGGCGAGCCCCGUGUUGGUAGACAGGGGUGCAGACUCAUCAGGGGUGAAAAAAGUGACAAGAACAUGGACCCUAAUGGGGGGUCUGGGGGUGUGCCCCCAGGAAAAAAAAGAGUUAUUGGUUGUCCACCGUGGCUUUUAGUAUUGACCAAAUGUACCCAACAAGAGCUGUAAGCUGACCCGGUGGUGUGCUGUGUGUGUGGGAGAGCAACGUGUCAGCAGUGAGAGGUGAAGGGACAGACUGGUAAUGUUGUACUGACACAUACAGUGUCGGUGUUACCCCGCAGCAAACUUACAUGGCUUUGCUAACAGUCUUUUUUUACAUUACUCUGCUAAAAUGUGAACAAAAAGCUUCUUUGCUUGUUUACCACUUUCACUCCAUACUUGGACCAGUGAUACUUGAAUAUUUAAGUUCUCAAUAUUUGAAAAAGUUUCAUUAGUUGUUUUGGUUGGGGUUUUUUUUUCCUUUGUUUUUUCGCAACUAAAAGAAAUGGCUUUUUGCUGAGGGCAAGAGAACAAUCCACCCCUUGUAACUAUUGUGAUGAGUUUGUAAACUCAUGAUAAAUUGAUCAUUGAAUGUAAUAAAAUGCAUUUCUGUUGAA